rnacentral:rRNA from 1 species
UGGUGGAGCGAUUUGUCUGGUUAAUUCCGAUAACGAACGAGACUUUAACCUGCUAAAUAGUACACUCGUAGCUGGGCGAGUGCUGACUUCUUAGAGGGAUAAGCAGCUUUCAGCUGCAAGAGAAGGAGCAAUAACA